GCCUUCCUCGACGGCGCACAGAUUGCUCUUCGGUCUCCGCAGUAGCUGCUCCGUCAUCGUCCCCACGCCAUCCGCAGCAGCCUCGGUCAUGCCCUCCACCAUACCGCCAUCGUCGUCGUCAUAGAGUUAUGGUUUGGGUGGGGAAUCAGGAGAGAAGGUAUGGGGCCACAUCGAUCACACGCACUUCUGCUUUUUCAGCGGGCUAAUGCGGGGUAGAAAGGACUUUUCAUGUUGCACAUAAGGGUGUUUGUUGUUUUUCUCUAAAAAAAGGGUGUUCGUGGUUAAAACUGACGGAAAGGUUAUAAAGAGAAUAAAAUAAAGUUUGAGUGUCAAAAGAGGAAGAAAUUUUUUAGGGCAAAAAAAGGAAACUGAUUUUAAGAAAGAAAUCAAAUAAGGAAUUAUUUCCAGAUCUAUCUCCUCCCUUCCGCCGCCGCCGCAGCUCAAAAAUUCCCCACCAGAAACCCUCGCCGUCUCGACCCUCCAUGCCGCCACCCGCAUCGGCGCUGCCGGCCGAGCUUCUGGAGGAGAUCUUCCUCCGCCUGCCGCCGGACGAGGCAGAGCACCUCGUGCGCGCCUCCCUCGCCAACAAGUUCUGGCUUGGCCUCCUCUCCGGCGCUCGCUUUCGCGGCCGCUACCGUGAGUUCCAUGGAGUUCCCCCCAUGCUGGGCUUCCUUUAUUCCUGCCAAUGGAACUCCCGCCCGAAGAUGGGAGAUAAUAUCCCACACUUUGUCCCCACCACGAAAUUCCGUGCGUGCAUUCCCAAUGAUGACUGGGGGGACUGGGAAUAUGAUGCGUGGGACUGCCGCCAUGGUCGUGUUCUCCUUGGCGAUGUGCAGGGCCGGCCCUGAGGGGGGCAGAGGGGGCGGCCGCCCCGGGCCCCCGCGUAGGAAGGGGCCCCCUGAUGGCCUGGUUCCGCGUAAUGUAACAGAUCGAUUCUUAGGAAAGGGAAAAAGGUUACAGCGAUUACUUCUCGGCUUGUCGCACGCGCAAUCUUUCCAUAUCUUCCCCAUUGGCAACAAAUCAGCCCGAGACUCAGCCUUGCCAUUGUUGCCAAGGUUGACAACGCCUCAGAUUUAUGUACGAGGCCGUCUAAUUAAGGUUUCCAGCUGCAGGGCGCGAUUAAUGGAAGAAGGUAUUGCGAGUUUCCAAAUUCUCAUCAACCUCUUCUUCAACGCAAAUCCUCUCUUUUUAUAUUAUCGCCAGAUCGUUCAUUCAUUUGUGAAGGUCAUUCUCAUACAUAUCUCAUUCUCAAACUCUGGUUUCUUGUUUUGACUGGGAUUAGAAAAGAGGACUCUUCGUGACUGGUAAGCAUCAGCAAUAUUUUGCAAUUUUUGAUUUUCUAGCCAUCAAGUACCUUGUUCCAUACCUUUCUUAGCAUUUUUUAUUUAAUUAGCAGUGUUUUUAAUUUCUUGUACUAUCAUAUGUUUGUGUGCUAGUAAUUAGUAAGAUUGCUAGUAUCCAUCUGGUAAUGAAAAUGAAAACAGGUAUGUGAGUUGACCGAGUCCUCAAAAGGAGCAUAGACGUUUUUUAUAACAUACACGAAUACUUUUACUGCUCGGAAUUCAGAGGAACUAGCUUUAGUUACUGCUGAGGAACAACCUAACUAAAAUUCUUACGAUGAUAAUAUAUUUAGUAAGCACCAAACUGUUACAUAUUCACCUAGUAAUAAAGGUGUUGAUUGACAAGAGCGACGACUUUUACUGUGAAUGUUUAUGACUCCAAAGUUUUUGAAUAAUUGAGAUGACAAGGCAACAAAAUUAUAAUCUAUCGAGUAUUUAUUUGCAACUGAAAUAGAAAAAAUUACUCCGUUUAUGUGGCUUUAGGGCCCCCUUCAGUUGUCUUGCCCCGGGCCCCUGAAAUCUCAGGACCGGCCCUGGCGAUGUGGGCUAUAAACCCAUGAUGCUCACUGUUUGGGAUCCCAUGACGGGCUGUCGGAGGGAGCUGGAUGCGCGGUGCUCUGCGCGGCAAGUGGUUGUGACCACAGUACGUGCCACGCAGGGCCCUUCCAGGUCGUCUUCAUCGCUCUGAACAAGACUGAUGCUCAUGAUUGUGUUGCACAUGCGUGGGUGACCUUGCCGGUGACAGGUGACCACAGCAACCCCAUUUUGUUGAGCAUAUACCGUUCUCAUUUUGAUAACUGAAGCAAUCCAUGCUCCGGCCUUCAACUUGACUCCGAUGUGUACAUCCACGAAGCGCCUCCUGUCUUCGUCCAAAGACACACUUCACUUCAAGCUUUGUGGCUGCGUCGAUGAUCGCCUAGUAGGAAUUCUCAAGAUGACAGGUUGGGGUUUGCACAUGUGGUUGGGUUAAUCCUCAAUCUGUGGUCAAGGCACAUGGGUUCUGACGGAGUUGCAUCAUGGACUCAGCGUACAGUCAUCAAUAUCAACGACAUCCUUCACAUUCGAAAUCCAAAGAAAAGACUUAGGCUGAUUGGAUCUGUGGAAGGCACCGAUAUCAUUUUCGUGACCACGGAUCUUGGAAUCUACAAGAUUAAUCUGAAGUCACUACAGUGGAAGAAAGUAUGGGAGAGAGAAAAGUUUCAAGUUUUCAUCCCAUACACGAGUUUCUACAAUUCACAAGGGUGACCCCCGGUGAUGCGGCGCAUUAAGAAUGUGUGGUUGAAGAUGUACGAGGCUACACUCAUCAACAAGAUAGGUGACAAACUUGGAGGCAACAGGGGUCUCGCGAAGUCCUGAUGAAUUAUGUCAUCAUUCAGUAGCCCUUUUGGUGCAGCGGUGCUUGCUUGUUUUCUCAUGUUGUUGGUAGCUUUUGUCAGUUAGCUUGAUAAUCUCCCGUGUUAGAGGCCGAGUGAAUUGAUUCUCUGUAAUGAACCUCUAAUUUGAUGUACCCUGUUGUAGAAUUUACUUGAAAAAGCAUUUGCAGACAGUAACUUGGUAUUACCAUUUUAAAAACUCUACA